rnacentral:ncRNA from 1 species
UGUCUUCAGGGCAGGGUGAGAUUCCCGACCGGCGGUGACUAUUUCUGUUUUAUUUUGCCCUAGUUGUUGUUAUGUGGAAGUACUUUAAGUAGAUAUACAUCAAUUAGGAAAAGUUAUUAUGGAAAUCAGAAGUCCGCGAGCUACAAUAGUAGCUGACCUAGUGAGAUUCUAGGACCGACAGUAUAGUCUGGAUGGGAGAAGAC